GUAGGGUGCGAGCGUUAAUCGGAAUUACUGGGCGUAAAGCGUGCGCAGGCGGUUUUGUAAGACAGGCGUGAAAUCCCCGGGCUUAACCUGGGAAUUGCGCUUGUGACUGCAAGGCUAGAGUGCGUCAGAGGGGGGUAGAAUUCCACGUGUAGCAGUGAAAUGCGUAGAGAUGUGGAGGAAUACCGAUGGCGAAGGCAGCCCCCUGGGACGUGACUGACGCUCAUGCACGAAAGCGUGGGGAGCAAACAGGAUUAGAUACCCUGGUAGUCCACGCCCUAAACGAUGUCAACUAGUUGUUGGGGAUUCAUUUUCUCAGUAACGUAGCUAACGCGUGAAGUUGACCGCCUGGGGAGUACGGCCGCAAGAUUA
rnacentral:rRNA from 1 species